rnacentral:piRNA from 1 species
AUCCCGGUGCAAUGAGACUAGCCUCG